ensembl:lncRNA
CAUGAACUCAACUCAGGGACAUCGAGUCUGUCCACUGAUGUUUGUCGUCUCCGCCCUUCCACUUUGGGCUCUUUAUUGAUGCCAAAGCAAACGCUCUCAUGAAGGUAACCUGCCUGCAGCCUCUGAGCGUCCUCGUGAAGCAUCCCAAGUAAAACGUUAGUGUUGAUUCUUCUCACACACCUCCAACCGUCUCGCUCUCAGAGACGUGGAAACUGUCUCUCACUGUUUGCUCUGAUGAUUAAUCAGAAAUUAUCCUUUUGGAGACACGUCCACAGGCUGUGAGCUUAGAGAAUAAGAGGGAGGAGAAGAUCCACCUGGCUGUCAGACUACAGGAGGAACCGUGUUUAUUAUUUGUAGAGGUUUCAUUAGUCCGGAAUCAUGCGUCCAGCUGUGCUAACCGCUGUCCUGCUCUCGGUGCUCUUCAUCAACGCCGUGACGUCACUGAACCUCGGAAAUCUGCCGCUGCGUGAAGAGCGAGCUCUCUUCGAUGCGCCACCAGAUGUUGCGGUUCCGGUGGCUCCCGCUCCACUGAACAUGCCAGUCGACCAAGCAGUCGACCUGGACGACAUAACCCUUAAAAGACUUGCAGAUGUUUUUGAGUAUCUAUGUCGUUGAAAAAUAUGCAGGACGAAGUGAUCAUCAUCUGCUGAUGUGUUCCUUCUCUCUGUAAAGCUGCUCUGUGUUUCUAUAACCCGCCAACACGAGCUCCAAUAAACGCUUCAGCAUUCAAGCUCCUGGUGUCACUUUGUUGGGCAAUGAGGGGUCGAUGUUCACGCUGUAGAUUAAAGCACUAGAUGAUCCGUAGAUUUAGAGCCCGACACACGCGGCUCAGCGUGGGUCCCAUCGGGUCGAGUUCAGCACCACGGACAGCGACUACGGGACCUCAUUCAUUUCUCCUGUAGGAUCUGAAUGGCUUUGAUGGAACCUGAGCUCCUCUUUUAUCAACAGUUAUAGUUUAAUACAACAAGAGGACCUCCAACUUUUAUAUGUUUCAUUUACGGAAGGUGGAGGAAGAGUUAAGGAUUUGACAUGUAUAUAAAUAUAUAAAUAUAUGUACAUACACACUAUACAUCAGUUGUAUGAAGCGAGAGACAAGACGUGUUCUUGUCAGAACUCUACUGAGUUUAAAACCAAACCGGUCUUUUUUUUUAAUGUAUUAAUAUCAAGAGACAUGUAGAAUAUGAUUUCUGGAAAGGUUUAAAGAGAAAAGAUGCGGAAGAACUUAAAGCAGAGUUCUGAAGAUGAGCCGAGAAGAGAAGAGCUGUUUGCUGUCGGGUUGGAUGUUCAAAAAGUACGAUGUCAAAAAAGGAAUCGUAAAAUGUUACGUCAAAACAUGUCAUGAAAACAAAGUCAAUAAAUAUUGCGUCAAAAAAUAAUUUGAAAAAAAAGUCAAAAUAUAUUGAGACACAUUUCUAUUUUAAAAGAAAAUCCAAAUAUGUGAGUAAGUCAAAAAUACAAAAAAAACAGUCUAAAUAUAUGAAACAUUCUUUAAGAAAAGUCAAAAUAUGUCUAAAAUGUCAUUAAAAAAAAGUCUAAAUCCCUUGCUUUGAUGAAAGACAUUAUCUUCCAUUUCUAGUUUUAAUGAUAAUAAUUAUAUAAUGAGAAUUAUUUCCAAUUAUCUGUAACUUCAAACACCUUGAUUUAUUCAAAGUUUUCAAUUCAAAUUCAGAUUAAAAAAAAAAACGCUCUAUGACUGUUAUGAUCUUACCUUCACUCAGCACUCAUUUGUACUGAGUAGAGCUUGAACGCAUCAUCAUAAAGUCAAUGGAAUCUGAUAAAAUUACUUUAUUUAUAAAAAUACAUGUUACCUCUUUGUGUCUUGAUUCACUUUUAGUCUUUUAGGAU